AACGAUCAGACUCUUGCAAGACAAUGAAUUAGAGAAACAAGAAAUAAGCUCUACUAAUAAAAGUAUAUCUAACACUGAUGAAACAGUUCUUCGAUACAGUGAAAUAUUCAAGAACAAAAUGGAAAUUAUUCAGUGAUGAGCAGUAAGUUUUUCAGCAGGAUAAAAAAGCUAUAACGUGUGAAAUCUGCUUAACAGGUAAACUUUAUAUAAUAGGUAAGCUCUGCAUAAGAAAAGGUAAAGAAACAUUA